rnacentral:misc_RNA from 1 species
UGCGUGCUUUUCGGUGACGGCGCCGGCGCGGUGGUCCUUGAGGCUCAAUCGCAGGCCGGAACUUCUGCGGACCGCGGCAUCCUGACCACACAUCUGCGUUCUGACGGCCGUCACAAGGACAAGCUGUUUGUCGAUGGCGGCCCCUCGAGCACCCAGACCGUCGGCCACCUGAGGAUGGAAGGCCGUGAAGUGUUCAAGCACGCCGUCGGCAUGAUCACCGACGUCAUCGUCGACGCAUUUGAUGCG